GGGGAAUAUUGCGCAAUGGGCGAAAGCCUGACGCAGCAACGCCGUGUGAGGGAUGAAGGCUUUCGGGUCGUAAACCUCUGUCGGAAGGGAAGAACGGGCAUUGGUCUAAUAGGCCUUUGUUUUGACGGUACCUUUAGAGGAAGCACCGGCUAACUCCGUGCCAGCAGCCGCGGUAAUACGGAGGGUGCAAGCGUUAUUCGGAAUUACUGGGCGUAAAGCGCACGUAGGCGGCUUCGUAAGUCAGGGGUGAAAUCCCACGGCUCAACCGUGGAACUGCCUUUGAAACUGCAAAGCUUGAAUCCUGGAGAGGGUGGCGGAAUUCCUGGUGUAGGAGUGAAAUCCGUAGAUAUCAGGAGGAACACCGGUGGCGAAGGCGGCCACCUGGACAGGUAUUGACGCUGAGGUGCGAAAGUGUGGGGAGCAAAC
rnacentral:rRNA from 1 species